rnacentral:misc_RNA from 1 species
GAUGAAGAAUGUAGCGAAAUGCGAUAAGUGAUGUGAAUUGCAGAAUUCAGUGAAUCAUCGAAUCUUUGAACGCACAUUGCGCCCGCCAGUAUUCUGGCGGGCAUGCCUGUCUGAGCGUCAUUUCAACCCUCAUGCCCCUAGGGCGUGGUGUUGGGGAUCGGCCAAAGCCCGCGAGGGACGGCCGGCCCCUAAAUCUAGUGGCGGACCCGUCGUGGCCUCCUCUGCGAAGUAGUGAUAUUCCGCAUCGGAGAGCGAUGAGCCCCUGCCGUUAAACCCCCAACUUUCCAAGGUUGACCUCAGAUCAGGUAGGAAUACCCGCUGAACUUAAGCAUAUCAAUAAGCGGAGGA